rnacentral:rRNA from 1 species
UACGUAGGGUGCGAGCGUUGUCCGGAAUUAUUGGGCGUAAAGAGCUCGUAGGCGGUCUGUCGCGUCUGCUGUGAAAACUCGAGGCUCAACCUCGAGACGUCGGUUGAAACCACUUGGCUAGAGUCCGGAAGAGGAGAGCGGAAUUCCCGGUGUAGCGGUGAAAUGCGCAGAUAUCGGGAAGAACACCCGUGGCGAAGGCGGCUCUCUGGGACGGUACUGACGCUGAGACGCGAAAGCGUGGGGAGCGAACAGG